AAGUCAUUUGUGUAAGAAGCCGUGUUUUGCACAAGAGACUAGUAGUCAGAUGACCUCUGGCUUAGAUCUGUUGCUCCAAUAUGAAUUUCAUUUUAUGGGGUGAGGAAAAUAGCCAUCAGCAUUCAACACAAUGAUGAGAUAACAAUAGUGCUAAAUCUCCCGAAUGUCUUCAUUCUAUGUGGUCUGUCAUGAAUGGUUAACUUAUCUGGGGACGGGUGGGGGGGGUAGUCCCACCAGGUGCUAAUAGAUUUCCUGCAGCUUUGAAACAUUUGCUCACGCCGGUCUCCCGGAAUGGAGUCAGGUUUCAUGUGAGGCAAUUCAGCCGGACCGAGGGGUGACCUCCCUUCAACACACACCCCAGACACACGCCAGCGACACACAUUAGGCCACGCACACACACACACACACACCAAGCCUACAUGGCAUUAACAAGCCAUCCACGUUGCUUAAAAGCCGUGGCAAAUUCAUAUUCUUAUUUUGUGUCAUUAACGGACAUGUUUGUGUGAUUGUUUUUGUUCUGAAAGUUAGAUGCGAGUAACAAUGUCCGUCCCACGUCUGGAGCUGGGAUUACUAUGACGAACAAAGCAAUUCCCAUUCCCCUUCUCCGUGUUAAGCUAAGCUAAUCAGCGGCACACAUCCUACAGACAUACAGUGACACGCCCCGACUACACACGUUAUAGAUUGAUAUGAACUUUCUUCCUUUUUAGAGAGAAAGAAUGAGCCAGUAUAGUUCUUUGACACGUGGGCAUUUUUUUAAACACAUAUUUGCACAGUAUGCAAUUAUCCACAGACGUGCAGAUUUGCCACACGCGAGCUGCCUUUGAUGCUGAUGGUGGGAGGUGUGCCGCACUUGCCUGUUUGCAUGCUUGUAAUUCCUCCCUCUCUGUAGGGGUCGUCGUGGGAGCACAGGUAGGGUGAGUGUAUGCGAGGGGGUGUGAUGGCGCAUGCGUUUGUUUACAUCUUGUGUGGCCAUUAUUUUGUAUCCGUUAUGUGUGUGGGCUUGUAAGCAUGCGCAAUGGUCCCUAAAGCUCCAAUUAGCAGAUGCAGCUCUAUGGUGAAUUUAGCCACAGCGAAUGGGGCUUGGCGUGUCAGAGGACCUUUAAGAGUAGACGUUCCGCGUGUUAGACUUUGGUGCUCGAUCACCCGCAUUAUUACUGCACACAGCAGAGGAAAUAAAUCGACCGGCCUUAAAAGCUGCCUGACUUUGUGCCUGUUAUGUAACUGGCUUGGCUCUGAUCUAUCCGAUCGGUCUCUGUAACAGGAGGGAUUCUGACUCAUCGGUUGUUGUCCGUUGUUAGUCGCUGUUCGUGACUCUGAGCAUGUGCCUGCACUUGAUCUAAUGAUCAAUCAGGCAAUCAGCCAACCACUUGGUUAAAAAUCGGGGGCAAAGCGGCGGCCAGAUGCGGACAAAUCUUUGAUAAUCUGAUUAGAAACUAUUCAGUGACAUCAAGAGGUUUUGGUUUGGAAUGUAACAGUUUCCAAAUUAGUAUUCAUUUUCCACUCAUAUUUCACAACAAAACUGUGGGGUGUGCUGAGCAUUAAACAAGCAUCCGAGCCCCCCCCGGCACUGGUCACCUGAUGGCGCAGUGAGGGAGUGUGCGUCAAACGUCUGGGUAUACUUCUGUAUUCCCGGUAGAGCUGGAGUCUCCACUUUAUCUUUGGCCAAGAAAAACAUGAAAGCAAUAUGAAAAAAACACAGACUGCUGCAAUUACAACUAAGUGAGUACACAAAUGACCAGCAGAUGAGUCAGAGAGUCAGAGCUCCCGACAGCGAUGCAAAGGGCCAGAGAGCAGGUGAAGGAAAUUUAGAAUUCAAUCCGUUUUGGAAAGAGGAGAAGGGGGGCUUUAACUUGGCUGUUCAAAUUGCCCGGUUUUUCAAAUUGCUAAAGGCUGUGUCAAUAAUAUCUUUUGAGAAAAUCCAAAAAUUGGCUCAUUUUAGAGCCGUUUGUACACGCUAGAACUAUCCUGAUGCCUGUUAUGUAAUGCACGUCAUCAAUACGCCACUCCCGUCACGCCUACCGCAUUUGUUUACAUGCACACUCGUGUCUUUAAUCUCAAGGAGGGAAUAACAGUGUGUCGCGUGUGCUUUGACACAGGCGAUGUGAGACACUCAUGUUCCACACAGCGAACGGGAGGUCUCCGUGCACGCAUGCACGAGCUCACUGGAAGUGAAUCCCGUGACACAAUUGUGAGAUGGAGCCACGGUGGCUUUGCUGGUUCCACUUGGAUUCCAGAAGAGACAUGAAACUGUACCAAAUGUACCAAAUGUAAUCUGAGAUCAACGUUCUGGAGGUGGGGGAUAACUACGUCGAGGCAAUGGAGACACUCGAUGGCCAGAGAGUUGAAGGCCGUAAUGGGAUGCGGCCAGUGCGAGGCCCGUCUGUCAGAAGGUUUAUUGCCCCGCGAUUUGGAGCAAACUCUGGACUUCAAGCAAAUGGAAUCAUUCAGAAAACGAGUUAAAGGAUUCUGUAUCAGAGCAUUGAUACGGUAGUAAACGGAUAUUAUGGAGCUUUUGGUUGCUGCCAUCGCUUUUUCUUUUUUGCAAAUAGAAGGGACAGGAAAUGAUGGAAAAGUAAGGCCUACAAUAUUGGACAAAACCUUUAAAAGGAUACACAAAAUGCUAGAAUUAACAUAAAUAAAAGCACAAAAAGCAAAUAAAAGCAAAUCUAUUUUCAGAUAGAAAGAUAGUUUUCCCAAAAACUCAAAGGCUCCUUGGAGCUGCUUACCGCUGGUAUGCAUGAUGAAAGAAAGCCAAACCUUUACUGUAAUCUCCUUCAUCGUAACCUAAUAUCUAAAAAAAAAAGCCCAUUACAAUGUAAAGAGCUGCAUGCAGUUAACUGAUGACCCUCAGGCUUCAGCCUCUCAGGGGCACAAUCCAUUCUUCCAUCCAAAAGCCGUACCGGCUCGGGGGAACGGAGCCAAUGGUCGCUGCUCACGUUGGGUCCGUACGCAGGGACAGAAAACCAAUUGGCAAUUAACCGCGGGGUGAGAAAUCAGAGCAAACUCAAGAUGACGGCGAGUACAAGCAAAUGUUACACAGGAAGGGCUCGGGGGGACCGGCCGGCACGAGUACGAUAUGCUAAACACAUCAACGUCAGCUUUCCUGAAAUGAGAUCCCCUUGAGCCUUAUAGGUAUCUCAAUAUAUCCGUUACAGCGGUUGUGAUUGGGUUUUGAGCCUGGGCCAAAAACGCCUUCACGAGGUGUUUGAAAUUGAAAUCAAGGGGUACGAAUUUCAUUUGGGAUCGGGGGCCGGUUAAAGAAGCCCCCCCCCCAAUCUCCCCCCGAGCAUAAAGGCAUAGCAGCUAUGUUUUAAAUUAAGCAACCAGGAGAUGUGGAGACAAACCGAACCUCAACAAUGCCUCAACAGUGCCUCGGUGGUCCUGCUCUCGCCGUUUGUUGUUGCUUGAGGUUCCGAACAUUGUCUUCCCCCAAAACCGCAACCCUCAAAGUUGUUCUUUCUUCCCAGUGUACGUGUGCCUACUGUAUCCUCUGUGGCUCGCAUCUGCUACAAAAACAAUGUUCUCAGUGGUGGUCGGCUGGUACAGUACAAUGCAGCCCUCAGUAAUCCAAAACUGUCCUCACCGAGGGGAAUAGGGAAGGGGAAAAUUUAGAAACCAUAUCUUUUUCAUCUCGCGCGGUCAGGAAUGUGAGCGUAAGUAUUAUCUGAGAGGAGGGGGGGACGGGCGGUAGGUGGGGGCUCUGAGAGCAGAACUCACUUAUAAGUGAAGUACAGCGAAGCUUCCAUGUGUGACUGUUCCUGGUCAAGCACAUUGGAUCCCAUUUUAUAAAGUACUUAGAGGCUCUGUACACCCCUCGGUGUAAUGAUGAACUGUUAAUACCACCACGUGUAAUUACUUGUAUAAUAAACCGCUCAUAAUCACUCUAGAAGCCAUUUACUUACGGCACUUCAGGCAAAGAUAUCAAUCAGUGACAGAGGGACACAAGCCCAGAGACUUGGGAUAACAAUCAAAAACACAACAAGAGUGACCUUUCAGUGUAAACCGACUCGGUCGUCUUGUUGCCAGACGUGAAAUCCAAGGCCCCUGGCAGGAAAUCCAGCGCGUGCUGUUGACAUCGCAACUCAUCCGUGACAGACAAGGAAAAACACUCGUGGAGAGGAAGAGAGAAAACGGCAGAAGACAGAGUGCUGUCGUUGGUCAAUAUUACAACGUUCAGGGAAGGAAAUAAAGAGCUUUUAAAGCAGAGAUUGCAGAUGUUGGAAAUGAUCACGUGGUUGCUAAAUACAGCAGUUGGAGAACUGUGCUGUUACUUCUGUGCAUUACAAUGUCGAUAAAUCACAUUUUGAAUAAUGGCUGCAGAGUCCAUUAAAUCCGGCAUCUUUGCGAAGGUUUUAGUUGAUGCGGUUUCUGUCACGUUUGUCCAUUUCAUUUCAUAUUAUUGGUCCCCGUAUAGCAUUACUAUUAAAAAUCAACAGUAAAGACACUGUAAUUUGUUACAUUUAUAAUGCCCCCAAGCACCUUUAGGAUUGUAGCUCUGCUUUGGGGCUCAGCAGUGUGCCGUACAGAACUGGGGCUGGUUUUUAACGUCCAUUAUAAAGCGUCAAAUAGUGGCCUGUAGUUUGUCUUUUGGGGGCAGUGAGGAGAAUCUGGGCUUGAGCACAGCUGGUUUCUGUGCGAAGUGGACUAUGCUAACGAGAAAGUCACUUAGCAUCUGAUCAACGUGCAAAGGGGAAAACAGGAAUUACUAAAUGUAUGACCGUUGAACGUUACGGGUGGGUAAGUCAUUAUUAACGGCUGUUAAUGGACGCGUCCUUCAGGCAAAUUCACCGCUGCAGAGAGACGUGGCCGAACCUCCAUCGUCUCCUUUUCUGGACGUUGUUGAUGUUGGCAGUACGUCGGUUUCUGAUGCCGCGAGAGCCGACUCAGGGUGCUUCUUUCUCGUUCACACACACACACACACACACACACACACACACACACACACACACACACACACACACACACACACACACACACACACACACACACACAUUUGGAUGGGAAAUGUGUGUUGGCAAUGUGACAGGAGUUAGUAACAGAAAUCUGAUCCACUGUGGAAAAAAAUACAGACGAGACUCUAAACUCUAAACGCGAUGCAACAGAUAGUAAUCAUAAACUUUUAUUCUGAAUGUAUCUUAUUUGCACAUGAAUUCACACAUUUUUACUCCCCAUGAUUAUAAACAUUGUUCUUUUUGUUGAGGACACCAUCAGUUUUGUACAAAUGUUUACAUGUUUGAUUCUGGAGAAUCAAGUUCCAGUAAAGUGUAAGCCCGCCUUAAAACCGAAGGCGGAGAAAGAUUGACUGACAGCCAAUCGUCUGCCAGAGAGUGGCAGCGAGGUAAAAGACAUAAACACACACACACACACACACACACACACACACACACACACACACACACACACACACACACACACACACACACACACAGACAGCUAAUCCUCAAGAUUCCCGAAAUAAAAAGGCGAACCCACACAAUCCGUACAGACAGCACCAACAGACAGAGUCAAAAACACAGAGAGAAUAUUAUUCGAGAAGUGACAGCAUCUGAUUUUAGCACUUAAGAGUGGAAAGAAUGAGCUCAUGUUCCUUUUGCAACGUUUUUUGUUGUUUUCUGUGCAGCUCUAAAAGCAGCAAGUUGGGGCAUUUUUGGCGGUUCUAUACUUCAUCACUUAAAAGACCAUACCGGUAUUUUUGCAAGUUACACCACGAUAGGUUAUAAUGGUCUUAAUAGGAACUAAUGUAUAUUGAUUAAUAAUGACCAUGUCAACUUUUGUUCUACCUUUGAAGGUCUUUUCCGACUUUUCAGGCAGGCGUCGUUUUCCAUUACUUUCCCACACGGAACCCACGACAUCACCAACGGCACUCACUGUUCACACGUGUGUCAUGUAAAAAACAAAAACAUUUCAUUGAGAAGCAGACUGAAGACUCUGCAAACUGUUUGAAGGAAAAAUGCAGCUCUGAUGGGAUCGUUUGGUGAGUCUGCAGCCGAACCAGCAGCUGUGUGUGCAGCGCGUCAACAACAUUAUUUUCAACUUAUUUUCAGUCGAUGUUGCUUUCUUAUUUUUACUUUCACAGCAGGAAGCAGCUGAGAUCAAGGCCGACUGCAACGCGGUUCGUUUUAAAAAGUAUUUAAACCAAGUUGUUGAACAAAUUGAACUUUUGAACAUAUUCCAGGGAUUACAGGAAGGUCAACAAUUCAAACCAGCUGAAUGGCAACGAACCAAACAGCCGUGGAGACGUUUCCCUCUGUGCCGCAACCCGAGACGACCCGAUGCUGACCCGGGAGGAGGGUGGAGCCAAACGCUGUCCCGCCUCCCAAGAGAAAGGCAGUAAUAGCUGAUCAUCACAAUACGAAUGCAGAAUGUUAUCCUUCCCAACAUCACACACUGAAGCAGGAGGCGUGAAUAGAUUGUAAAGCCACUACCGCGCAGCGCGGGGACACGGUCCAUGAGACGUACGUGUUGUAUUGGUAAGUUGCAUAAAUGUGAUAUUACGAUAAUAGGUUUCUCCACGAGAGAACAAGAGGGCCCCAUAUGGCACUUUAUAUUCUUGAGUAAGUUAGUAAAUGAAGAGCGUUAAUACCGCUGAUUUUGUUGGAUGAAUACAGGGUUAGAGUAAAGAAGUGCACACAGAAGAGUUUCAGUCGAUGACGGCGGAGCUUUGUCAAAAAAGAAAACGGACCAACCAGCACGUCUUGAUCGGACGUGGAGACACUACUGAUAUAAAAACUGACGUGGCCAGUAUGACGCAGCAGCAGUUAUAAUUCUGUAGAGAAUAAUGUGUGGUUGUCUCCUAUAAACAUACUCCAGCACUAAACACUAAACACAAAGAUACAGAUGUGUUUUUGUGGUGUAUGAGGCAUCCUCAAAAUCCCCAAAUUUGUUCCUCUGUUGAUGUUUGGAAUCUGAAAAAGCAAACCAUCAAGUGCAGCUGUUUCAAGUAAAAAUGACACUUUUAUGGUCACGGUUUAUAUCUGCCUGAUAUAUUAUUUCCUGCCUACUUGAAUUGACGCCUCUUCAUCAAUCCUUGUCCUCAAGUCCAUACGUAGAUACGUGAAUUAAACGGAGAAAGGCCUGUAGGUUUCCACAUAUUGCAACAUAAGGAUGGAUUUACAUUUUCAUCCUGAAAGUUGUUUAUUAUUAUUAUUAUUUAACUCCCUUUGACAUAGUUAGUACUGCGUUGGCGUGUAGCUGCUUUAAGAUUCCUGAUUUGG
ensembl:lncRNA